rnacentral:lncRNA from 1 species
GCCUGUUUGCUCCUUCUCUGUCUCGAGCAUGGUUUUCUAUCCUGCCGGGGAGGGCGAGAGCGCUGGGCAGAGGUGGCACCUGACCCGCUAGAACUCCGAUGUCACUGCUGUGGCUGUUACUCCCCUCGGCAAGAGUCAAGGCGCACGCAGGACGGUGGGUCACCUCGCUGGCUAUUUUGCACAUUUCCUUUCUUCUCCUCAACCUUGUUAGGUUUUUUUCUAAGUGCCCAGGGGUUGAGGGGUUUUCCUAGCCCCUCUCUAUCCUCGAUCUAUUCUGAUUUGAAUCUCUCUCAGGAUUUGUAACACUUCCUCUCAUUAGGAAAGCUUUGCUAGACUCGCAUUCCCUGUCUCUGUAAACAGGGUUUUUUUUUUUGUUGUUUUUUUAAUGAUUUGUUGUUUUGGGGGUCUCUCUUUUGAAUGUCAGCUCCAAAUGUCUUAGCUUCUGGGGCUACCUCACACACUGAAACGGUUGUUGAGCUAUUGUACCCGAGAGGAGAGGACACAGAAAUGGCUCUUUAGAAUAAUAAUCUCAAAAGGGAGAUGAGAAAGACCCCAGAGGACAGCCUGUGCUCCUGCUCCAGCCUGGCUGAGAAAAGGGGGUCUCCAGGUGAGACUACUGUCUCCUUUACAGAGUCAGAGAGCGUCAAGAUACUUUGUGUCUCAUUUAAAAUGAUUUUAAUUCUAACAAGAGGGACUAAUGAAAGAAAUCCCAUUUCCCAUGUAGGAGAAAGGAGAGGCACAAAGCACACAUAUGAAGGGCUCCAGAGCACACCAUUCCUCUGGAAACCGGAAAGUGAGGGAGAGCGAUUGUUACCUAGUCUCUCUCUCUCUCUCUCUCUCUCUCUCUCUCUCUCACACACACACACACACACACACAGAGUUUCAGAGUAGCAGUAUUUCUGUGUCCUUGGCCACCCAAGGCAGUGCAUUGUUUUUCCAAAGGUUAUGUGGAGGUUUUUGUAAAACGAAAUAAAAAAAAAUUAUUUAUUUUAUUUCAGACGGUGAGUAAGCUCAGAAUGCAUUCAGUACUAACCAAUACAGAAUACAGACAUGCCCAACAUAAGCUGUUAUUCUCCACGAGCAACCAAACACCACAACACACACACACACACACACACACACACACACACACACACACACA